rnacentral:rRNA from 1 species
UACGGGGGGGGUAAGCGUUGUUCGGAAUUACUGGGCGUAAAGGGCUCGUAGGCGGCCAACUAAGUCAUACGUGAAAUCCCUCAGCUUAACUGGGGAACUGCGUGUGAUACUGGAUGGCUUGGAUUUGGGAGAGGGAUGCGGAAUUCCAGGUGUAGCGGUGAAAUGCGUAGAUAUCUGGAGGAACACCGGUGGCGAAGGCGGCAUCCUGGACCAAUAUUGACGCUGAGGAGCGAAAGCCAGGGGAGCAAACAGG